rnacentral:rRNA from 1 species
AUUGAACGCUGGCGGCAGGCCUAACACAUGCAAGUCGAACGAGUGGCGGACGGGUGAGUAAUGUCUGGGAAACUGCCUGAUGGAGGGGGAUAACUACUGGAAACGGUAGCUAAUACCGCAUACCAUCGGAUGUGCCCAGAUGGGAUUAGCUAGUAGGUGGGGUAACGGCUCACCUAGGCGACGAUCCCUAGCUGGUCCGAGAGGAGGACCGGACAAACUGGAACUGAGACACGGUCCAGACGCCUCCGGGAGGCAGCAGUGGGGAAUAUGGCACAUUGGGCGCAAGCCUGAUGCAGCCAUGCCGCGGGGAUGAAGAAGGCCUUCGGGUUGUAAAGUACUUUCAGCGGGGAGGCGUUACCCGCAGAAGAAGCACCGGCUAACUCCGUGCCAGCAGCCGCGGUAAUAC